UACGAAGGGGGCUAGCGUUGUUCGGAUUUACUGGGCGUAAAGCGCACGUAGGCGGAUCGUUAAGUCGGGGGUGAAAUCCUGGAGCUCAACUCCAGAACUGCCUUCGAUACUGGCGAUCUUGAGUCCGGGAGAGGUGAGUGGAACUCCGAGUGUAGAGGUGAAAUUCGUAGAUAUUCGGAAGAACACCAGUGGCGAAGGCGGCUCACUGGCCCGGUACUGACGCUGAUGUGCGAAAGCGUGGGGAGCAAACAGG
rnacentral:rRNA from 1 species